rnacentral:misc_RNA from 1 species
AACGCACCUUGCGCCCCUUGGCAUUCCGAGGGGCACACCCGUUUGAGUGUCGUGAACAUCCUCAACCUGCUUCGUUCUAUCGAACCAAGUAGGCUUGGAAUUUGGAGGUUUUUCUGCUGGCUUCCUCUGAAGCCAGCUCCUCUUAAAUCUAUCAGUGGGAUCCGCUUUGCUAGAUCCUCGACGUUGAUAAGAUGUUUCUACGUCUUGGGUUUCGCUCGGGAAGGACCUGCUUCUAACCGUCCCCAUCGGGGACAAUGUUCGAGAGCCGAUCGCCCUUCACGGGGUGGGAAGCUUUUCGACCCAUGAAACCUUGACCUCAAAUCGGGUGAGACUACCCGCUGAACUUAA